rnacentral:rRNA from 1 species
GGCUCAGGAUGAACGCUAGCUACAGGCUUAACACAUGCAAGUCGAGGGGAAACGAUUAUUGGAAGCUUGCUUCCGAUAGGCGUCGACCGGCGCACGGGUGAGUAACGCGUAUCCAACCUGCCCAUCACUUGGGGAUAACCUUGCGAAAGUAAGACUAAUACCCAAUGACGUCUCUAGAAGACAUCUGAAAGAGAUUUAAAGAUUUAUCGGUGAUGGAUGGGGAUGCGUCUGAUUAGCUUGUUGGCGGGGUAACGGCCCACCAAGGCGACGAUCAGUAGGGGUUCUGAGAGGAAGGUCCCCCACAUUGGAACUGAGACACGGUCCAAACUCCUACGGGAGGCAGCAGUGAGGAAUAUUGGUCAAUGGACGAGAGUCUGAACCAGCCAAGUAGCGUGCAGGAAGACGGCCCUAUGGGUUGUAAACUGCUUUUAUAAGGGAAUAAAGUGAGUCUCGUGAGACUUUUUGCAUGUACCUUAUGAAUAAGGACCGGCUAAUUCCGUG